AGAGUGUCCUGUUUUCAUUGCUGACCCUUUCUGUCUCUGUUCUGACUGCUGCACAUGAUCGUGAACCUAAGGAAAUUACCAAAGAAAAAACAAAUUUAAGAAAUUAAAAGAAAUAGAAAUAACUAAGUAGGGUUGGGUUGCCUCCCAACAAGUGCUUCUUUAACGUAAUUAGCUUAACGGUUAGCUACUUACGAAGAUAGAUAUGGGCUCAGAAUUUUGCCCCUUACAGUGAACUUUCUUCCUGUCUUCUCAUGAAUGAGCUCCACAAGCUCUAGAGACAGGACACAACUCACCGUAUGUGGUAUGACUGGCUUCUUGGUGAAGACAACUCUCAUGCCAGGUGAGAGGCCUUCAGUGGAGACUUUCUUGUCCCUCCAGCCUUUAGGUACUUUCUUCCUAGUACCUUUGCUCGCAAGGCUUGUUAAUGGCUGCCCAACACCAAAAUUAGAAUGGAUGUUUGGGGGUUUAGUAAAGCUCUGCACUAAAAAUGAUGGUUGGAACACUAAGUGUUGCACAGUUAUCUCUAUUUUCUCAGAGGGAGAGUUGGGGUGAGACAUCUUGAACAAGAUGUGAUCCUCCCCUAGUUCUAAAAUUAGUUCUCCCUUAGCUACAUCAAUGAUAGCAUUGGCAGUUGCUAGAAAAGGUCUUCCAAGGAUGAUAGAUUCAUCCUCAUCUUCCCCAGUAUCUAAGAUAAUGAAGUUUUCAGGGAUGUAAAAGGUUUUCAACCUUCACCAAGACAUCUUCUACUAAGCUAGAUGCUUUCUUCAUUGAUUUGUCUGCCAUCUCAAGUGAGAUAUUUGCAGGUUGUACCUCAAAGAUGCCCAGCUUCUCCAUUACAAAGAGUGGCAUGAGGUUUACACUUGACCAUAGGUCACACAAAGCCUUCUCAAAGGUUAUGGAGCCUAUGGUUCAAGGAAUUAGGAAGCAUCCGGGAUCCGAAAGCUUCUGAGGUAGCUUCUGCUGGAGUUCUUUGGUAAGCACUGGAGGUUCUUUCUCCAAAGGUCUUGUACCAAACAGCUUGGCAUUUAGCUUCAUGAGAGCUCUUAGGUACCGAUCAACUUGCUCUUCCCUAGUGUCCUCAUCCUCAUCAGAGGAUGAGUAUUCAUCAGAACUUAUGCACUGUAGGAGUGCAUGCAAGGGAACCUCUAUGGUGAUAUGAGCCUUGGAUUCCUUUAAUUCUUGGAUAGGAGUUUCUUCAGUGGAUGCUGAAUACUCAGUAGGUAUGACAUUACUGGAGUUUAACGCCAGUUCUGGUCGUUCUUUGGGCGUUGAAUGCCUAGUGAGGCUACCUCACUGGCGUUCAGCACCAGCUUUAAUGGUUGUUUGGGCGUUGAAUGCCCAGUGAGGUAUUCCUCACUGGCGUUCAAUGCCAGCUCUUGUGCCAGCUUGGGCGUUGAAUGCCCAGUGAAGACCUCCUCACUGCCGUUCAGCGCCAGGCUCUUGGCCAUUUUGGGGGUUGAACGCCUAGUGAGGGCUUCCUUACUGGCGUUCAACGCCAGCUUCUGUGCCAGCUUGGACGUUGAACGCCUAGUGAGGUCUUCCUCACUGGCGUUCAAUGCCAUCCUAGUCUCUCCAGAUUUGGCCUCAGCCUCUCUGGUGAUGGCCUUGUACUCUUCUCUUGGGUUUACUUCUGUGUUACUAGGAAGAGUGUCAGGAGGAGUCUCAGGGAUUUUCUUGCUCAGUUGACCGACUUGUAUCUCCAAAUUUCUAAUGGAGGAUCUUGUUUUAGUUAUGAAACUAUAAGUGGUCUUAGAGAGGCUGGAGACUAUAGUGACUAAGUCAGAAAAGCUCUGCUUAAGAGUCUCCAUAUGUUCCUGAGAAGAUGGGAAUGGUGGUCUGUUGAUGAACCUGUUCUGAGUUCUUCCACUUUGGUUAGUGUUGAAGCCUAGCUGAGGCUUCUAUUGAUCCUUCCAUGAAAGAUUAGGAUGAUUCCUCCAUGAAGGAUUGUAGGUGUUUCCAUAGGGUUCUCCCAUGUAAUUCACCUCUUCUAUGGUGGGUUGUUCAGGAUUAUAAGCUUCUACUUCAGAAGAAGCUUCUUGAGUGCUGCCAGCUGCAGCUUACAUUCCAGUCAAAUGUUGAAAGAUCAUAUUGAAUAGCUAGGUCAAGAUCUUAUUUUGAGCCAAUAUGGCAUUCAAAGUGUCUACUUCAAGAACUACUUUCUUCUAAGGAACCCCAUUGUUCACAGGAUUUCUCUCAGAGGUGUACAUGAAUUGGAGUUAACCAUCUCAAUCAGUUCUCUUGCUUCUACAGGCAUUUUCUUCAAGUGGAGUGAUCCACCUACAGAGCUGUCCAAUGAUAUUUUUGACAUCUCAGAUAGACCAUCAUAAAAAAUUCCUAGGAUAGACCAUUCUGAGAGCAUGUCAGGAGGACACCUCCUGAUCAGUUGCUUGUAUCUUUCCCAAGCAUCACAGAGGGAUUCACCUUCUUUUUAUCUGAAGGUUUGAACUUUCACUCUGGUUUUUCUCAUCCUUUGAGAAGGAAAAAAUUUAGCCAAGAAAGCAUUGACCAGCUUCUCCCAAGAGUCUAGGCUUUCUUUAGGUUGAGAGUCUAACCAUAUCCUAACUCUGUCUCUAACAGCAAAAGGAAAGAGCAUAAGUCUGUAGACCUCAGGAUUCACUCCAUUGGUCUUACAGUGUCACAAAUUUGAAAGAAUUCUGAUAGGAAUUGGUGUGGAUCUUCUAGUAGAAGUCCAUGAAAUUUGCAAUUCUGUUGCAUUAGAGAGACUAACUGAGGCUUAAGCUCAAAGUUGUUAGCUCCAAUGGCAAGUAUAGAGAUGCUUCUGCCAUAGAAAUCAGAGGUAGGCAUGGUGAAGUCACCAAGAACCUUUCUUGCCUCUCCUUCAUGAUUAGGUUCGGCUGCCAUGUUCUCUACCUCUUAUUCAAAAUUUUCAGAAAGGUUUCUUCUGGAAUGUUGUACUUUAAUUUGUUGUAAGCUCCUCCUUCAAGUCCUCUCAGGUUCAGGAUCAAGAUUAAAGAGAGGCUCUUUAUCUCUGUUCCUGGUCAUAAACCAAGAAGAAUAAAGGGGAAAGAGCAUAAGUCUGUAGACUUCAGGAUUCACUCCAUUGUCUUAAUAGUGUCACAGAUUUGCAAGAAUUUAGCUAGGAAGUCCAUGAAACUUGCAAUUCUGUUGCAGAAGAGAAACUAACUAAGGCUUAAGCUCAAAGUUGUUAGCUCCAAUGGAUGGUAUGGAAAUACUUCUUCCAUAGAAGUCAGAGGUAGGUAUGGUGUAGUCACCAAGAACCUCUGUUGUAUCUCCUCCAUGAUUAGGCUCGCCUGCCAUGUUGUCAACUUCUUAUUCGAAAUUUUCUAAGAGGUUUCUUCUAAAGUGUUGUACAUUAGCUUGUUGUAAACGCCUCUUUAGAGUUUUCUUAGGUUCAGGAUCAGGUUUAAAUAGAGGUUCUUUAUCUCUGUUCCUGGUCAUAAACAAGAAAAAGAAGACAAGAAAGAGGAAAAAUGGGAGAUCUAUGUUCAAGAACAGAGAACUCCUUGUGAGAUGUGAAGAACAAAGAAAAGAAGAAUGAAGAUAGAAGAACGAGAACAAGAAUUCAUCUAUGAGGAUUAGAGAAUUUGAUAAUUCAGAAACAAAAUUAGAAACUAGAAUUAAAAUAUUUUUGUUUUUAUUUUAUUUAUUUAUCAAAUUCGAAAAUAAAAUUUAAUUAACUAAAAAUAUUUGAAAAUUUAAUUGUUGAAUUUUGAAAAAGAAGAGAGAGAAAUAGAAGAGGGAUUUUCGAAAAUUAGGAGAGAGAAGAAUUAGUUAGAAAGUUUUGAAAAAGAAGAUAGAGAAAACAAGUAACUAAUUAAGAAAGAUUUGAAAACAAGAUAAGAUAGAAGAUUAGAAAAUAUUUGAAUUUAAAAUUUGAAUUUAGAAAAGAUAAGAUAGAAAUUAAAAAUAUUUGAAAAAGAUUUGAUUUAAAAUUUGAAAUUAGGAAAGAUAAGAUAAGAAUUUGAAAAAGAUUUGAAAAAGAUAAGAUUUUGAAAUUGAAUUUUUGAAAUUUUAAAUUUUAAAUUUUGAAAUUGAAUUUUAAAUUUUGAAUUUGAAAUAAGAUUAAAUAAGAUUUUUGAAUUUUAAAGAAAGAUAGAAAGAUAAGAUAGUAAUUUGAAAAAGAUAUGAUUUUUGAAAAGAUUUGAUUUUGAAAAGAUUUGAAUUUGAAAUUUGAAACUAAGAUAAGAUAAGAUAAUGAUUUUGAAAUUAAAAUUUGAAAAUUUUGUUGGAAUUUUCGAAAAUUCAAGUAAAAGAUAGAAAAGAUAUUUUAUUUUUUGAUUUUUUAAUUAAUGACGAAAGAGAAAAAAAACAAAAAGAAAAUUACCUAAUCUAAGCAACAAGAUAAUCCGUCAGUUGUCCAAACUCAAACAAUCCUCGGCAACGGCGCCAAAAACUUGGUAGCACGGAAUUACACUUCAUGUUACUGAAUCAGCAAGUGCACUGGGUCGUCCAAGUAAAACCUGAGUGAGUCAGGGUGGAUCCCACGAGGAUUGUGAUUUGAAGCAAGCUAUGGUUAUCUUCUAGAUCUUAGUCAGGCGGAUAGAAGAGUUGUUUGUUUGUUUAAUUCGCAUAAAUGAAAAAUAAAUAAAAUGUUACUCAGUUGAUGGUGAAUGCAAUAAUAUGAAGAUGGUUAAGGCUUGGAGAUGCUUUGUUCUUCUAGAUCAAUCCGGUUUUAUUGUCUUCUUCAACUGUGAAUGAUUUCUUCUACGAAAGGCUGUAUGUGAUUAACGCCUUUUUUAGAGAUCACUAAUACUCCUCCAGAUCUAAACCCCAGGGUUAGUGCGGAUGCAGUUUGAUUGAGGGUGAAGCUCCUGCAGUUCAUUCUCCUUGGUGAUCCUACUCAAAACCCCACAGACAAGGUCAAAUAUUCUGGAUCAGGGAAUGCUGCGCCUUUGGUUCUAGCCUCUACCAGAAAGACUCUAAUAUCCCCAUACUUCGGCUGAACUGGUGUCUCGAGAAGUCCCCAUCGAAGUUAUGAAUUAGCCAUCUAGGAGAUGUAUAAUCAAACUAUGGGUUAGUCACUGUCCAAUGAAAGACUCACGCUGAACCCAUGUAGAAUGAGAUAACCUUGUGCCGGUUCAACGCAUUCAUGAUGAUGAAAAACGGAUAUACAUCUUAGAAUAGAGAAUUAAACACGUAUAGAAAUAGAACAGUAGUACUUUAUUAAUCAAUAAAACUCAGCAUAGCUCCUCCCCUCAACCUAGGAGGUUUUAAAACUCAUACUGAUAGAAGAUACAAUGAUAAACGAAAUAUGACAGGUCCUCCCCUUAAAACUGUAAAAGUUCUCAAAUAAAUACUAAGCUAAUGACUUAGGAUUACAUAGGAAGGGUAAAACAGUCUUUUUAUGCAAAAAUCCACUUUUGGGGCCCACUUGGUGAGUGUUUGGGCUGAGCUUGAUUGAGAUCCACGUGCUAGGAGGCCUCAAGGGCGUUGAACGCUGGCUAGGGUUUCCUUCUUGGGCGUUGGAAUUCUGGCUACUCCCUAGUGGGCAUUGGACGCCAGAACAAGGCAGGAGGCUGGCGUUGAACGCCAGUUUUGGGCCUUCAAUUCUAAAGCAAACUAUGGACUAGUAUAUAUUUCUGAAAGCUCUGGAUGUUAGCUUUCUAUAGCCAUUGAGAAUACUCCAUUUGGACUUCUGUAGCUCUAGAAAAGCUCUUUCGAGUGCAAGGAGGUCAGAUCCUGACAGCAUCUCCAGCACUUUCUCUGUCUCUGAAUCAAACUUUUGCUCCAGCUCCUCAAUUUCAGCCAGAAAAUACCUAAAACUGUAUAAAAACACACAAACUCAAAGUAGAAUCCAAAAAUGUGAAUUUUGCACUAAAACCUAUGAAAACUUAAUAAACUUAAACAAAACAUACUAAAAACUAUAUAAAAAUGAUGCCAAAAAGCGUAUAAAAUAUCCACUCAUCAUUAGCAUAAUUUGUCUUUUUGAAGUUACUUGCAUUGCAUGAUAGCUUUAGAGCUUGUACAUAUUCCACUUAUCUUUGUGUUAGAACUACUUGGUUAUGGUGAUGAUUUCUUUUCCAAAAACUGUUUUUAGGGCACCUUACCAAUUUGACAAAAAAAAAAUUGUGUUGAACUUGCUUUAAGGAAUUAAUUUUGGAAAAGAUUUUUGAGCUAAGAACACACAAACAUGUGAGUUUUGAGCUUAAUUGCGUGGUUACAUCAUAUAACCACUUAUUUCCAUUCUUGUGUGCAUUGUUCUCUUUAUAUGAUUGCAAUCUUUGAUUUGUUUGAUUCUUUAUGUCCAUUAUUUUGUGUAUCAAUGCAUUUAUAUGAUUGAGGCUGUUAUUUUAAUAGUUCACUGGCCCAAAUGGCCUUACCUUUUAUCUACCAUUGUUAGCCAAUUUUGAGCCUAUGUUAAACCCCCUUUUGUUCUUUACUUUAGCACAUCACUACCCCUAAGUGAAAAACAAUAAAUGUCCUCUAAUUUGGAUCUUUGAUUAGCUUAGGCUAGUGAGAGUGUGUGUCAUUUAAGUGGGGGGGAAGUUUGGGAACAUUCGUAGAGGUAAAAGUGUGAUUUUAUAUUUUUAAUUGAAAAUAUUAGAAAUUGGGAACAGACUCAUGUAUUGAAUGUUUAGACCACAUGCAUUGGUAUCAUUGCAUAUAAUUCAUCAAAAGAGAAAAAAAAAGAGAAGAAAAAUAAAAGAAAAAAUGUAGAAAAAGAAAUAGAAAAAUAAAAGAAAGAAAAAUAUAUAGAAAAAGAAAGCAAUAAAAAGGGGACAAAAUGCCCCAAGGUGAAGCCAAUAAUAACCAAUGCAUAUGGGUUGUGAAUUGAAAGAGAAUGCAUGAGUGUGUGAAAAAGUGAAUAAAUGGGUAGUUAGGUUUAUAUUUGAAUUGUAUAGGAUGUUAUUUGUGUUGGAUGAAAGCUCAGGUUAAUCAAGGAUUUAAAUUUCGAGCUCACUUGGCCAUAUAUGCAUCCUUACCUUUACCCUAACCCCAUUACAACCUAAAGAUAAGCCCUCAUGAUAAAUGUAUGCAUACACUGAAUAACUGUUGAUUGUUAGAUGAAAACAAAUCUUUGAAAGCAUGAUUAGAAGAGAAUUGAGAGAAUCAACCCUAUACACUUGAGCGACUAGAGAGGAUACACUUCUGGUGAGGGUUCGAUGCUCAACGCCUUGUUCCCUGCUUUCACAAGCGUUCUUCUUACAAGUUGUCUACACUCCGUUUUGAUACUUGAAUUGGUAGAGUUCAUGAAUCAUCUUAUCACCUUGGCCCUAUGUGUUCAUAUAUGUUCUUGGAAGUUGAUUCACUUUUGACCAAAUAAAUAGAAGCACUUGCAUUAGUUGCAUCCAUGUAGGUAAAUUGCAUUCCAUAAAUCUUAUUCUCCUAUGUUCUUUGGUCUUUUAAUUUUUAGCAUGAGGACAUGCUAGGUUUAAGUGUGGGAGGUUUGAUAAACCCCAAUUUUAGGUUUAUCUUGUGUAUAAUUUGGUGGGUUUUAUCAAUAUUUUUCACACUUAUUCAUAUAAAUUGCAUGCUUUUUUGUUUCCUUCCUAAUUAUGUUUCAUGGUUCAAAACAUACUUCUUUAACCCUAAAAAUGCUGAAUUUUAAUCCUUUUCCAUUACCAUUCGAUGCCGAGACGUGUUUGUUAAGUGGAUUCAGGAUCUAUAGGGCAAGAAUGGCCUAGAAGAUGGAAAGGAAGCAUGCACAAGUGGAAGGAACAUGAAGAAUAAAGCUUUGGAAAAGUGGGGGCGAUGCGAACGCGUGACUGACGCACACGCAUGGCCGUGUGUAGCUGAGAUUGGCGCGCAUAAGCUAAUGCACUCGCGUGGUGAUCGCGAAAUCCCACUGACACGUUUUACCUGACUUACGCGUACGCAUGGCUCGAGGAGUUCAUAUGACGCGCACGCGUGACCGACGCGCACGCGUGGCGCCCAGCACGUGACUCAUUAAUGAAAUCAUGACUGGCAAUUUCUGCAAGGCUCCAGGCCCAAUCUGAGCUCAAUUCUUCAUGGAAAAGAGCCAAGGAACCAAAGGGAAAAGGAGGACUCACUCAUACACACCACAUACAUAAUUUUAGCGAGUUUUUUGUUUUUUUUCUAGAGAGAGAAACUCCUACUUCUCUCUAGAUUUAGUUUAUUUUUAUUUUCCUUUGUUGAAUUUUCUUAAAUGGGUCUUGUUGAAUUGAAUUUUAAUUGUUCAAUCUUAAUUCCUUUAGUUGUAAUUUGUUUAGAUCUUAUGCUAGAAUUUGAUUUUCUCUGUGUUUUCUCUUUUCUUCUCAUUUUAUGAAUUUGUUGAUUUUGAAUUUCUCUUAGUGCAUUGAUAUUUUCUACGAUUGAUAGUGUUAAUUAAGUUGUUUUCUAUUGAUAAUUGUUAGUGGGUACUUGUAAUUUCCAAUUAAUUUUGCAAUUUAAAUAUGUCUUUAGUUAAUGCCUACCAUGUGUUUGAUGAAAUGUUUCCUUUGAUUAUGGAGUAUUUUUCCAUAUUCUUGGUCUAGGCUAAGGAAAUUGGGUGACCUUGAGUCAUUGGGUCUAAUUGAAUUAGUGCUUUGAGAACCCUUGUCGGUCAAAUUGAUACCCAUUGACACUAGUCUACUAUUAAGCCAAUUAGUAGUUCGAUUAGGACUUAUGAGUUGAAGUUGAUCAAGCCUAUUUGACAUACUUUACUUGUAGAAGUAGACUUAAUGGGUUUGGUUCCUCAUAAGUGUCAAUAUGUGGUUAUUAGACAAGGAUGGUUAUCCCAAUUCCUAUGCCUUAGCCAAGAGGCCUUUUUAUAAUUCAUACUUGAAACCCAAAAAUCCCAAUUACUUGAUUCUUGUUAUAGUUAGUUUAGUUGCUUACAUAGUUCUAGAGUAGAAGUAGAUUUAUAUGUUACCUUGUUAGAUCACAUUUACUUAUACUUUGCUUUAAUUGCUUUGAUAUAGUUUCUUACACUUUAAAUUUAUUGCAUGUUAAGCUUUAGUAGUUUAAAUUCUUAUUCAUGACUCCCAAUCUUGGAAUUCUAACCAAUAUUAAUGCACAUGUUUGCCCAUUCUCUUGAGGACGACCCGAGACUAAUACUCUCGGUUACUUUUUAUUGGUGUUGAACUAGUGACAACCAUAUCAAAAUUUGAUCAAAGGGUAAUAUGUUGGUCUAGGACUAUACCAUGACAUGAAUCUCUAUUGAGAAAUUCUAGACUAACGAUAAUCUUUACAUCAGUUAGCUGCCACGAUCGAUCGUAGACUUCCAGGGGUAACCUGAAACAGAUAGAUUUGGGCAUGAACGUGAGUUCCUGGUGUAACAACCCUAGAUUUUGAAAAUUAAAUAAUUAGUUAUUUGUGAUUUAUUUUAUUUGAUGAUAAUUUUAUUUUAAGAAAAUUAUUUUACUAAAGGUAAUUAAAUAGAGUUUCAUGAUAAUUGAAGUUUAAAUUAAUUAGAAUUUUUAUAUAAUCUUUAUUAGAUAUUUGGUAUAAUUGAAAUUAUAAUUUUGAUAAUUGAAAAAAAUAGAAGAAUUGUAUAAUUUAAUUUAAAUAAAUUCUAUUUUGAAUGAAUUAUGUUAUUAAUUUGAACUCCUAGAAAUUAUUUUAUUAGAAAUGAUUAGAUUGAUAUUUAUAAAUACUUUAAGUUUAAGUCAAUUAAUAUUUAUGUACAAUUUUUAUUAUAAUUAAUUAUUUUAUAAAUUGAAAUUAAAGUUUCAGAGAUAGAAAAAUAAUAGAGAUUUGUAUGAUUUAAUCUAGAAAAUUGAUAUUUGAAUUUAAAUUUUACUUUACAAAAUAUUAUUAACUUGUUCAUUUUAUAAUGUAAAUUAGAAAUAAUUGAUUGAACAUAGCAAUAUGUUGAUAAAUAAUGUUCCUAAAUAUUUUUAAGAGAGUAUAUUUGAUUUUAAAAUUAUCCUACCCUCCAAUUUUAUCAAAAUAUCUAUUCAUAUCUAUCCAUAUUCUUUUAUAAAAUCCUUAAUUUCUAACCCUAAUUUCCAAAUUGGAAAUCAGAAACCCUAAUUCCCAAAUUCACAAAAAACCCUAAUCCUUAGCACCCUACACCAUAGCCGCACCCCACCCCCUUUCACCCCCUUCAGUGCAACUUCCAAAAAUGGGAAAUCAAAGAGGGAGAGUGAGAAAACGGAGAAGAGAAUAGAGGAAGCAGCAGCUGUUCGCCGUCAGUGCCGCCUCCCUGGAGCUCGCCGCUGAGCUGCUUCACGGCGUCGUCCCAUCCAUGGAGCCAUAAGCUCGCGUCGCCGCCGAUCCAUCCACAAGUCGUCGUUGAGGGGACAGAAUCACGAAGAGAGAGAGACGCACGAACAAGAGAGGCCCACAACCAGCCUUGUCGCUGCCAUCCUUGCGCCGCCACCGUCGCCCUCAUCGCCACUACCGACGAGCACGAAGAGAGGGAGACAUAGGAGUUCGCAAAGCAAAGAGAACGCAGCAGAGGAGCUCCGUUAAAGUUGGUCAUUGUCGCUAAAGCCUCCCUUGUCGCCACUACCGUCCGAGCCGCCGCUAGUGGAAGUCGCUACUGCCACUGUUGUGUCUGCCGUGGGGAGAAACACGAUGGUGGGGAAAGAACCUAUAACUGUCACUGAGCUCUGCCCCUGUUUUUGCAAUCUGAGAAGAGCGCCACUAUCGCUGCUAGAGUUGAUGUUGCUCCAGCUUUACCUUGAAUUGUUACUGCUGCUGCUUGGCUGAAGCUGAGACCUUUCACCAUCAAUGGAGCUGCUGGGUUUAAUGAUUUCCGCGAGUUUCGACUUUGAGGUAGGGGAUUUAACGUUUUUAAUUUAGAAUGCCCACCAAGUUAUUUGAAUAAGUGCAAAUGGUUAACAAUGGUUAAGAAUUUCUUAAUUGGCAUGAAUGACCUGAAAUGCAUUUGAAAUUUGUUAGUUGUUGUGAAUAUUUUGAGCUGUGACUGGAAUUAAAUGUGGUUGUGAAUAAUGAUUAGUUUAGUGUAAUUUAUUAAAUUGAUAUAUGCUGGGUUAAUUAUUGAAAAGAUGUCGUAUGGAUAAUUGAUGAAUUGAGUGUGGACUGUUGCUGUGAACGUUACUGGGUUUUAUUAUUGUAAGUGAUUAAUUGAUAAGAUUAAUUUUGGUUGCUGUUGUGAUUGAUAUUGGUUUUCUGAUUUUGAUGUAAUUAUGCUAAAUUGGUUGAGUUGUGGUUAUAUUCUAAUUAUUGAAAACAAGUGCUUGCUGUUGAUUUUAGUUAUCCGAUGUACCGGAAUGGCUGUGAAAUUGACUCGUGACUGGCUGAAAUUUGAUCCGGUGGUUAUUGAAGGAUUAGAACUUAAAGGAUUAAACUGUCUUGAGAACCUGCUUUUCUAAAAUAAUAUAGUAACUUUAAGAGUAUAUAAAUAAUUCUGUGAUGGCUGGACUAAUUUUCUAUGUCAUGAUUUAUUGAUCCUGGCUAUGGCUGUGAAUUGUGACUGCUUUUGAGGUUGUUAUGACAAUGAUCAGUGGUUUGCUUAUUUUACUUAAUCCUGAUUAGUUAGGCUAGCUAUGAGUACAUUAUGUUUGUGCUUUGAUUAUAGUAAUAUGUGAAUUGAGGAUUGCUUGGUGAAUGUUUGCUGGAGAUUCUGAUUUUGCUUGUAGGCAAGACAUUGGAUGUUGAAUUGAUUGUUGAUAAGCUAGGUUUGUACUUGUGAAUUGUAAAGAGAUCAUAAAUCGAUUGUUAAUUUAAUUCCUUUAAAUCUAAAUUGUAAACUAAUGCAGUUAUUUUAAAAGUAUAAAGAUAAUUUAUAAUAAUUGGAAACUAUAAGAAGCUAAAUUCUUGGGUGAUAAUGUGUUUGGAUAUUUGGGAAUGAGGAACUGUUAGUCUUUUGGUUAACAUAAUUUAUGAAUUGAUGAGUUUGAAGUUGGAUUGAUGAUGGAUUAUGUGCGAAUUGCGAAUUGUGGAUUUUCUGAUUGGUUGAGAACCUUUUAUUUGAUACUUGUUGAGAAAAGGCAGAUGAAUAGUUGAGAAAGAGGGAACCCGUAAGGGUGGCUAAGUCCGAGUUUUAGAGGAGGUGCUGCCCAAAUUUUAUAAAAUCUGUUUUAAUUGAAAAGUUAUUUUAGAAGACUUGGAUUUGGAAAAAUGAUAUUAUUUAAGUUUUAUUUAGUUAAGAAAAGAAUUACUCUAUUUUAAAUUUGAUUUACCAAAGAAAGGUCUAUGUUUCAAAAUUAAAUUAUUUAAGAAAGAAGCUAUAUCUUGAGAUUGAUUCAAUAUGAAAAGAAUGAUGUUUUAAGCUUGAAAUAAAGGAUUACUUUUCAAAAGUUUGGUGAAUUUAUAAGGUUUGAAUCCGAAUGAUAAAGAGAAAUGGUUUGAGCCAAGAUGUUGUAAAAGUGAGAGAUGUAAAGUUUGUAUAGUAUGAUUGAAUAGAGAAAGAAAGUGGUAUUGCAUAAGAAUGUGAAAGUAAUGAUGAAUAAUGAGAAUGAUAAUGAAUGAUGAUAAUGAGAAUGAUUAUGUAAUGAUCUGCUGUGUGAAGGCAGCCAGAUAGAUGGUGGUACGACCACUAAGAGCGCUUCCCUGGGAUAUUUAGCUAUAAUGCUAUUCUGUAAGUCAGAGGACUCUUACAGAGGUAUCGAGAAAAUACAUAACUAGCAUAUGCUCCUGUAAGUCAAAGGACUCUUACAGCGAGUGUAUGUGAGUGUGCUCCUGUAAGUCAAAGGACUCUUACAGUGAGUGUGUUGGGCAGACUAGCUCCGCCCUGCAAGUCAAAGGACUCUUGCAGUGGGUUGUUAGUGCCGCCAUGCAAGUCAAAGGACUCUUGCAGUGGUUUGCCCCGCAAGUCAAAGGACUCUUGCGAUGGGUGUUGCCAACAGGGAAGCCUUACCUGGUCAAAGGACUCCGAGUAACGUCGGGAGCGGGUAUGUAACCGACAAAUGAGCUCAUUACCUGCACUAAGGCUAGACAUGCAUCAUCAUUGUGUGUGCAUUUGCAUUUGAUUGGGUUUGCUCAUUGUACUUCCCUGUGAUUGUGCUGUUUGCCUUACUGUGACUUGUUUGUGUGCUGAAUUGAAUCUCUUGUUAGUGCUAUUAGUUGGUGAAUGUAUGAUGAUGAUUAAGAAUUGACGUUGUGAUUGAAAAUUAACUAUGUGGUUGAGAAAUACUUAAAGUGACCAGUUUUAUAUUUUGGAAUUUGUUUUGAGCUUAGAUUUUUGAAAGAGGUAAAUAAUUAGUUAAAGUAAAACCAAGAAUAGUAUUUUCAAAAAGGUUUGAUAAAAAUAUAGUUUCCUUGAGUAUGUUAAUUAUUUGCAUGUUAAUCAUUACUUUUACGGCAUUCCCAUUCCCUACUGAGAACGUGUGGUUUGAUCUCACCCCAAAAUCUUCCACCCUUUCAAUGAUACAGGUUCGAAGACUCAGUUUGAAGCUGCGGGCGAUUGUUAGACCCUAUUUAUGAGUUAAGUUUUUGAAUUGAGUUGCUUUCAUAGAAUUCCCUCGCCUUUGUUACUUAAGAUUUUAUUUUAUAAAGAGGGAUAGGAGUUGUAUCUAAGUUACACUUGAAUUUGUUUGUAUAAUAUUUACUAAUAAUUAUAUGAUUAUUAUUAUUUGGUGAUGCUUGAUAUAUGAUUUGAUAAAUAAAAAUAAAAUUUUCUGGCAUUUUUUACUAAAACUGAAACACGAUAUCGAACUAGAGGCUCAAUAGUAAAUAGUUAAUAAAGGAAAGCAGGUUGGUAACGCCUUACUUUCGGUACGAUCAUGACGUUCUGGAAGUUGGGUCGUUACACCUGGCUUCUUUUUUAGUGAGAUGUUCCUUUGUCUCCUCAGCAAAAGGUUGUUGUCUAAAAUCUUUGGAGAGCUUGGUGGGGGGUGCAUGCAAGGGACUUCGAUGCUUAAGUUAGCAAAUGUUUUAGGCAGGUUUUUUAGUUGAUUGGAGUUUGAAGAAUACCUGAGACUCAUAGGGUAUUUAUAAUUGUAGAUGGUAGGCUAAUAACUAUUUUACAAAGUAGCUCCUCCUUUGAUGGUAGAUAAUUGUUCUCUUUUAUUAAGGAUGUUGUUGAGAUCUCCCUUCUGGAUCAAUAGGAGAUAUUAUAGGAGAUAGUUACUUAUUAAAAUAAAUAGGGCUAGGCCCCUGUUGCCGUGUCCAACCUUUUUAGGGUCGGGUAAGUCGUAUCGUGGGUCCAAAUGUUAGUAUUAUAAUGUAGAUCGGACUUUAGUAAUUUUGGGUCUAGCUCUUGUAGUGGGCCAAAGUAUGAAAUAUAUUCAUCCUUGGAGUUUGCAAAAAAUUUUAAAAAUACUCCUAAAUUUUAUUUUGCUUUAAAUUAAUUCCAAAAAAUUUUUAUUUGCAUCAAAUAUAUCCUAACAUCUAAAUUUUUGAAAUGUCUAGGACCAAUCUAAUAAUAAUGCAUGAUAACUAUGUUUAUUUUACUUGUAUUGAAAGUUGUGAAAUUAUUGUUGAAUUUGGUCAUAAAUUUUUUUAAAAAUUAAUCAUGAGGGAUAAAUUUGAUGCAAAUUGAAAACUUCUAGAACAAAAUAAAAUUAAAAGAUUGAUAAACCACUAUUUUAUAGUUUAUCUUGUGCUAAUUUGAGUGGUUUUUAUCAAUUCUUCACUCACCUAUUCAUAUAAUUUGCAUGGUUUUACAAUUCCUUCCGUAUUCUGUGAUGUGUGAAAACAUGUUUCUUAGGCCUUAAAACAAACAUGCAAAACUGGAAGGAACGCACGAAAAUGAAGUUUUGAAGAAAAUGGCAGAGACGCGCGCGCAUAAACGACGCGAACGCGUGCCUAUCGCAGAACACGAGUGACACGUAUGUGUGACAUGGAAAAUCGCCAAAUGACACGCACGCGUCACCUACGCAUACGCGUGAUAGACGCCACGUGCAGAAAGAUGCAGAAUUCGCCCCCAGCGAUUUCUGGGCUGUUUCUGACCAAGUUUUCGACCCAGAAAACACAGAUUAUAGGCUAUAAAGUGGGGGAAUCCAUUCAUUCAAAAAGGAAAACUUCUCAUUAUUCACAAUUUUAGGUUUUAGAUGUAGUUUUAGAGAGAGAGAGGCUCUCUCCUCUCUCUUAGGUUUUAGGAUUAGGAUUUCUUCUUCUUCUCAAUUCCAGGUUCGAUGUUCAUUUAAAUUAUUAAUGCAAAGAGUACUUUUUCAUUUAAUUUUAUUAUUUAUUUAAUUGCUUUCAAUUUUAUUUCCAUUAUCAUGUCUCUUUUCUACUCCCUUCUCCCAAUAACGAAGAUGGUAUGCAUGUUGAUAGAGUAGACUCCCAACUUGACAUGGGGGUUGAUUAAAAGGAGACACUUGACUUUCCCAAGGGAGAGGAUUAGGAUUUGCGGAUAAGAGUUAGCUCAAUCACUUGACUUUCCUUUAUUUAGUAAGGGUUAACUAAGUGAAAAUAACAACCUUUUGAUGCUACACUUGAGAAAAUCCAACAAGGAUAGAACUUCCAAUUAAUCAUUCUUCCAGUCAAGGCUUUUUAUUUUAAUUACAUAAAACCUCUUGUUAAUUUUCAUUGCUUUAAUUUAUAAUUAUUUAUUUUCCCAUUCCUCAUUCCAAAAUUUCUCAGAAAAUUCAUAAACAAUAAUAACUACACCUCCCUACAAUUUCUUGAGAGACGACCCGAGGUUUAAAUUCUUUAUUUAUCAAUUUUAUUGGGUUUGCUUUUGUGACAACCAAAAAUUUUGUACGAAAGAAUUCUCUGUUGGUUCAGAAACUAUACUAGCAACGAGAACUUAUUUGUAAAAUUCUUUUCUAACAGAAAAUCCAUUCGUCAAAAUGGCGUCGUUGCCGAGAAAUUGCAAACAUCUGCCUUAUUAUUUGUUAUUGUAAAUAUUUGCUUUUUCGUUUCUUUGUUAGUGUUUCUAGUUUUACGAGUUUAUUUUCAUUAAUUUUUAUUAGUUUUUGUUUUUAUUUUCUUUAGCUACUAUGAAUUCUCACCCCUCUGACUUUAAGUUUGAUUCCAAUGUUGUUGUAAGGAAUGGAAGCUAUAAUGAGAACAGGCAUCAACGUUGGAAGACUCAAAGAUAGGAGGAGCCACAAGAAUUUGAUCAACCCUCUUGGCAACAACCCCCUCCAAUGCGCUAUAACCAACAACCAAUCUGUAAUGCAUAUCAAGACAAUAGUUAUGGUGGACCCUUUCGUGACAAACCACCUUUACCAAAUUACUAUGGUCAAGAGCCAUUCCAGGGAGCGUACCAAGAUGAUGAAUACGGUGGACCCCCUUGUAGUUACCAACAACCCCACCAUAUGCUUAUGAACCACCUCCCCAACAUACCUUUGAACCACCAUACUCACAAGCCCCUUUACACCAUUCACCUCCAUAUGACCGCAACCCUUAUCCACCAUACCAACCACUAGGGGUGUGCAAAAAAACUGGUUUCACUGAACUGAAUUGAAACUGAGCUGAAACUGUUUUAAAUAAACCAGUUUUUUUAAAUAAAAAACUAAACUGAAACCAUAGUUUUUAUGAAAAACCAGUUUAUUGAAAACCAGCUUUUAUGGUUCAGUUUAGUUUUAAACCAAAUUAAAACUGGUUUUAUUUAAACUCUAAAAUUAGUUUUUACAUACUCUUUAUCUCUCUCUCCCUUCUCUCUCUCUCUCUCUCUCUCUCUCUCUCUCUCUCUCUCUCUCUCUCUCUCUCUCUCUCUCUCUCUCUCUCUCUCUCUCUCUCUCUCUCUCUCUCUCUCUCUCUCUCUCUCUCUCUCUCUCUCUCUCUCUCUCUCUCUCUCUCUCUCUCUCUCUCUCUCUCUCUCUCUCUCUCUCUCUCUCUCUCUCUCUCUCUCUCUCUCUCUCUCUCUCUCUCUCUCUCUCUCUCUCUCUCUCUCUCUCUCUCUCUCUCUCUCUCUCUCUCUCUCUCUCUCUCUCUCUCUCUCUCUCUCUCUCUCUCUCUCUCUCUCUCUCUCUCUCUCUCUCUCUCUCUCUCUCUCUCUCUCUCUCUCUCUCUCUCUCUCUCUCUCUCUCUCUCUCUCUCUCUCUCUCUCUCUCUCUCUCUCUCUCUCUCUCUCUCUCUCUCUCUCUCUCUCUCUCUCUCUCUCUCUCUCUCUCUCUCUCUCUCUCUCUCUCUCUCUCUCUCUCUCUCUCUCUCUCUCUCUCUCUCUCUCUCUCUCUCUCUCUCUCUCUCUCUCUCUCUCUCUCUCUCUCUCUCUCUCUCUCUCUCUCUCUCUCUCUCUCUCUCUCUCUCUCUCUCUCUCUCUCUCUCUCUCUCUCUCUCUCUCUCUCUCUCUCUCUCUCUCUCUCUCUCUCUCUCUCUCUCUCUCUCUCUCUCUCUCUCUCUCUCUCUCUCUCUCUCUCUCUCUCUCUCUCUCUCUCUCUCUCUCUCUCUCUCUCUCUCUCUCUCUCUCUCUCUCUCUCUCUCUCUCUCUCUCUCUCUCUCUCUCUCUCUCUCUCUCUCUCUCUCUCUCUCUCUCUCUCUCUCUCUCUCUCUCUCUCUCUCUCUCUCUCUCUCUCUCUCUCUCUCUCUUUUUUCUCUCUCUUUCCUUUUGUUUCUCUUUCUCCUCUCCCUCCUCUCUCUCUCUCCCCCUCCCUUCUCUCUUCCUCUUUCUCUCUCUCUUUUUUCCCUUUUCUCUCUUACUCUCUCUCCCUUCUCUUCUUUCUCUGUCCUCUUCUCUCUCUUUCUUCUCCCUCCUUUCUCUCUCUUUCUCUUCUUUCUUCCCUUUCUUUCUCUCUUUUCUCUUUCUCUCUCAACCUUCUCUCACUAUAUAUCCCUCUUCUCUCUCUCCCCCCUCUUUUCUCCAAAAUAAGAGAGAAAAGGAGGGAGAGAGAAAAGAAGAAAAAAGAGGGGAAAAAGAGAGAGAGAGGAGGAGGAGGAGAGAGAGAAUGAGAGAGAAGGGAGGGGAGAAAGAGCGUAAGAGAGAGGAAGAGAGAGCGAGAGAGAAAGUAAGAGAGACAGAGAGAAAGAGAGAGGGAGAGAGAGGAGGGGAAGAGGGAAGGAGAGAGAGGGAGAGAGAGAUAGAGAGAAAGAGGGAUAGGGGAGAGAGAAUGAGAGAAAGGGAUAGAGGGAGAAAAGGGAGAGAAAAAAAGGGAAGGAGGAGAAAGAGGGGCAGGGGAGAGAGAGAGAGGAGGGGAAGAGAGAGGGAAGAGAGAGAAAAGAAAAGGGGGGGAGAGAGGAAGACAAAGAGAGGAAAAGAAGAGAGAGAGAGAGAGAGAGAGAGAGAGAGAGAGAGAGAGAGAGAGAGAGAGAGAGAGAGAGAGAGGGGAGAAAGAGGAGGAAGAGAGGGGAAAGGGAGAGAGAGAGGAGAGAGAGAGUGGGAAAGGGAGAGAAAAGGGGAGAGAGAGAGAGUGGAAGGAGAGAGAGAGAGAGAGAGAGAGAGAAACAGAGAGAGGAAAGGGAGAGAGGGAGAGAGAGAGGGUGUGAAAACUAGUUUUAGCCUAUAAACCAGUUUAAACUGGUUUUUUUUAAUUAAAACCAGUUUUUUUUUAUGAACUGGUUUAAACUGGUGCACUGUAUUAUAAACUGGUUUAAAACCAGUUUCUUAUGUGACAAAGCAGUUUGGUUCAGUUUCUAAACCAUUUAAAAUGGUUUAGUGCAGUUUCAGUUCAGUUUAGGGAAAAACUGAACCAUGCACACCCCUACCAACCACCCUAUGAACUGUAUGAACCAUACAUAGAGCCACCCUAAUUCCAACCCAAUUACUCCCAAGAACCACCACCUCCAUAUAGACCAUGUCCAUAUCCAUCAAUCCAGGAGCACUAUGAUCCUACGUAUGAUAGCCGAGCGCAACAAGAAUGAAAGGAUCGUCUCGAGAAAACAGUGGAUCGAUUUCAUGCAACCCUUCAUCAACUGGAGCAAGCAAUAAAUCAAUUAGCUUUCCGACGUUCGGACACUCAAGGAACCCCAUGGCUUUAUGUGGAGAAUAUAAUGAAGAACGUAGCAUGAAGGAGACACUAGAAACUCCGGUGGACAGUAAGAAGCAUGACUUUGUAUUGGAACAAGUGCAGGAAGCCAGAAUUAUCGAAGAAGAAGAAUUGGUUGAAGACUUAGGAGAUGCGGAACGUCCAUGGGAAAGCCCAGUCAUAGAGCCCCCUUCUAAGGAGUUUGAAUUUGAUGUUGAGGAGGGUGUACAACCUCUAAGGCAUAUCAUGGUUGAAGACUUUGAAGGGAAUAAUCAAGAGAUAGAUUCAAUCAUUGAUGAAUUCUUAUCUACAUUUAAAUCCUCUCCCAUUGGACUUGACAUGGAGAUUAAAGAAGAAGAAGCACAACCUCCCAUGCCCUUGAUGAACAAUGAAGAAGAGAUCGAAUUGGAAGAAAGCUACCAAGAGAAAGAGGUUGAUAUUGAAGAAGCUUGCAAAGAGGUAGAAGUUGUCAAAGAAGAGCCCAAGGGAAUGGAGCUGGAGAUCACCUUGCCAAGGUUGUUGGAGACCUCUCCCCCAAAGCCAUCACCAUCCAUCCCUUCAUUCAAGUGGGUAAAUUUCUCAUCUCUAAGCUUAAUUAUCCCACUUGAAUAUGCUUUGCUUGAGACGGAUGGGCAACUUAGAGCUCUUUGUGGCUAUAAGAGUAAGAGGGAGAUGGUUAGUGGUUGGCAACACAAUCUAGGUUCAUUGUGGUAGGAAGCUCACGGCUGAAUUAUCAUGGUUGGAAGAAUUCUAAAUUGUAUGGGUCUAGGAAGCCGUUUGGAUGCCUCCGUGAGAAUUCGGAUUGCUUACCACCUGGUUGGAACAAAGAUGGUCAACAAGAAGACAGAUGCAAAAGCAAUGUUUGGGACCCCGGAAUUCAGUCUAGCAAUCAAUACUCUUGGGGCCUUGUCACUUGCUUCAACUUGCUUGAAGACUUUAUGCGUCUAAUUUGGGACCCUGGAGAUUACUGGAACUACAAACAUUGGUGGAGAUUCCUGGAUGAGUUCAAGCACAAGCCACCAUGACAGGGAGCACAUCCAAUGUCUAACUUAAGGACAAUAACUAAAAGUGCUAGGUGGGAGACAACCCAUCAUGGUAUGAUCGUUCUUUUCUUUCUUCUUAGUUUUAUUCUAGCUUCUUUCUUCUUAUUUUAUUCUAGUAAAUCUUCUCAUUAUUACUGCAUAUAGUCUGCAUUUUCAUUUGCAUACUGCAUAUAUAAAAAAAAAGUGAACAGCAAGUUCUGUGGGAGCGGUGCAGAAAGCGUGUCAAUCGCACAAGCAACAUCACGCGUACGCGUACGAGCCACUUGAUAUUUUGGCAUUUCACAUGUACGCGUCAAUGACGCGCACGUGUGGCCCAGAAAAAUCGACGUAAAAGGUGUAUUGGCCGAAAGUUGUGAUGGCCUGGUGCUGGCACUGUGCUAGAGGCACAAAAUCACCCACGCGUACGCGUCCCUGACGCGUGCGCGUCGUUUUCAGUUUCUGAGCGAUCACGCGUGCGCGUGCCUAACGCGCACGCAUCAUAUGCAAAGUUGGGCCACAACAUUGAGUGAACAGAGAGUUGUGCGUGCCCAAGGCUGGCUUCACGCGAGUAGCACAAACACGGUCACACGUACACGUACGCGACGCUCUCGCGUCGCCUUCUCAAUUGCGCGCCCCACGCGUAUGCGUUAGUCACGCAUACGCAUCGACAGCGCCGCAUCACCAGAACCCUGCAACGCCCACUUUACUUAUCUUUUCUUUCCCAAUCCUAAUUUCUUUUCUUCUAUCUUAUCUCCCUUCUUAUUCUUUCUCCUUCCUUUCUUACUUCCUUCUUCUUCAUUUCUUUGACUUCUCCUCCUUAUUCUCUUUCAUUCUAUUUUACCUAAUUUAUUUGCAUAUUUUUGUUCAUUACAUUUUAACUGUAUGCAUGUUUUUAUUUUCUUUUCUAUAUUUAUUAUUUUUCUAUUGGUGUUGAAUGUUCUUAUUCCACUGUUGCAUUUCUAUUGCUUUCUUUUGGUGCUUCGUGACUUGUUUCCAUUGUUGGGUAAUAUUAUUUAUAAGUCCAUGCUACUCUUUUAUGACACUUGUAUUCCUUUUGCAUUGAUUUGAAUUUAUAUUGUCUUUCAUGACCCACUCUUUCUCCCUCAUUGUUUCAAUUCAUGCACUGUUGAUAUGCCAUGUACUUCUAUUAUUUUCUCACUUAUAUGUUGUAGAUACCAUAUAGUUGAGAAUCUUAUUAUUUGGCAUUAACCCAAGCAUAUUUUAUUUGUUUUAUAUCUUUGUUCUUAGGUCACUUUUCUUCUUUUUCUUCUUCUUUCAGGAUGGCCACCGAAGAAGGAAAACGAAGAACUUCUAUAUGGGGCGACCGACAAGUCAAUCUGCAUAUUCUUUGGAGAAAAGCAUCAGUUGUAGCAGCCCGCCCACUUGCACAUCUCAGCAUGCAGCGAGGACGGUGCCAAGCUCUAAGUGUGGGGAGGUCGGUCAGUACCUGACUUCCGGAGGUAAUUGCUCUUUCUUAACACCAAUAGGUUAUUUUUCUUUUGUUAGGAUAGGAUAAAUUGCAUAGUAAUAGACGUUUGCAUGCAUGUUCUAUUUGGUUGAAAAAUAAUAAGUUUCUUUUCACGACUCUAUUUUGAAAAUUUCACUAAUUUAAAUUAAAACUUUUGUGUUAAACUUGUUUGAAGACUGUAAAUUGGAACAUGAUUUUUGAGUAAAGAACACAACCUAUGAGAUUUGAGCUUAAUUACAUGGUUACAUUAUUUAACCAUAAUAUUUUAUUCUUGUGUAUUUUCUUCUCUAUAACUGUAAUCUUUACUUUGUUCCACUCUAUAUGUCCAAUGUUUAGUGUAUUCACAUGCUUGCAUAUGAUUGAGGCCAUUAUUUUAUUAGCUCACUUAUCCCAAAAAGCCUACCCUUCAAUUACCUUUGUUAGCUACCUUUAGUCUUUUAAUCCUCAUUUAUUCUAUAUUUUACCACAUCACUAGCCUUAAGCGGAAAAAAAUUAAUUACCCCAAUUGAAUCUUUGGUUAGCUUAAGAUAGAGAUUGUGUAUCAACUAAGUGUUGGAAAACUGUGGAAACUUGGGUUGAUGAAGGUGUACAGUAUUUCAUUGACAAAAUAUUGGGAAUUUGAGUGCUUACUCAUGUAAGACCCAAAAAAUUAAAAAUCCAUGUGCAUUGAUAAUGUUAUGUUUACUUUUAUACUUUAAAAAAAUAUUCAAUAAAUAAAUAAAUAAAUAAAUAAGGGGACAAAAUUACCCCAAAUGCUAAGUUUAAUAAAAGAUCAAUACAUAUGUGAUAAAAAAUUAAAAGAAAGGUUGAUGCAUGAGUAUGUGAAAUAUGCAAAAGUGGAAACUUUGGAUAGCUAGGCAUGAUUUUAAAAGUAUAAACAGUGUGUAUGUUAGGUGAUAGCUUAGGUUACUCAAAGAUUCAAUUUAUAGCUUACUUGGCCAUACAUAUAUCCUCUCCCUUAACUUAGCCCCAUUACAACCUUGAAAAGACCUCAUGAUGUUUGCAUUGGUGCAUUAAAUAUUUGUUGAUUGGGUAGAUGAAGAACAAAGUUUUAGAAAGCAUGAAUAGAGAAUACUAGAGUGGACUACCCUAUACACUUGAAUGAUUAGAGCGCAUAUACACUACCAGUGAGGGUUCAAUGCUUGAUUCUAUAUUCCCUGCUUUCAUGAGCUAUCUUCUUACAAAUUUACUUGUCUUUUAUUAUGUGAUUUGAAUGAGUGGAAUCUGAUUUAUAUAUGUCUUGGAGAAUUUGUUUACUUUUAACCAAGUAGGUAAAAGCAUUUUGCAUUUAGUUACAUGCAUAUAGAUAGGUUGCAUUUUAUACUUUCUACCAUUCCUCUUCACUCUUUUAGUUCUCUUGAGCUUAGCAUGAGGACAUGCUAAUGUUUAAGUGUGGGGAGUUUGAUAAACCAUUAUUUUAUGGUUUAUCUUGUGCUAAUUUGAGUGGUUUUUAUCAAUUCUCCACUCACUUAUUCAUAUAAUUUGCAUGGUUUUACAAUUCCUUCCGUAUUCUAUGAUAUGUGUGAAAACAAAUUUCCUAGGCCUUAAAACUGCGAAUUUUAAUUAUCUUUUAUUACCAUUCGAUGCUGUGAUUUGUGUGUUAAGUAUUUUCAGGCUUUUAUAGGGAAGGAAUGGCUUAGAGGACAGAAGCGAAACAUGCAAAAUUGGAAGAAACGCGCGAAAAUGAAGUUUUGAAGAAAUUGGCAGCGACGCGCGCGCAUGGAUGACGCAGACGCGUGCCUAGCGCAGAACACAAGUGACGCGUACGCGUGACAUGGAAAAUCGCCAAAUGACGCGCAUACGUGACCUACGCGUACGUGUGACAGACGCCACGUGCAGAAAGUUGCAGAAUUCGCCGCCAGCGAUUUCUGAGCUGUUUCUGACCCAGUUUUCGACCCAGAAAACACAUAUUAGAGGCUAUAAAGUGGGGGAAUCCAUUCAUUCAAAAAGGACAACUUCUCAUUAUUCACAAUUUUAGAUUUUAGAUAUAGUUUUAGAGAGAGAGAGGCUCUCUCCUCUCUCUUAGGUUUUAGGAUUAGGAUUUCUUCUUCUUCUCAAUUCCAGGUUUAAUGUUCAUUUAAAUUAUUAAUGCAAAGAGUACUUUUUCAUUUAAUUUUAUUAUUUAUUUAAUUACUUUCAAUUUUAUUUCGAUUAUCAUGUCUCGUUUCUACUCCCUUCUCCCAAUAACGAAGAUGGUAUGCAUGUUGAUAGAGUAGACUCCUAACUUGACAUGGGGGUUGAUUAAAAGGAGACCCUUGAGUUGGGAUGCUUAAGUAAUUAGUUAAAUUGGAAGUUGUUGGCUAAUUCUCUAUUUACUAACGCUAAUCAUUCCCAAGGAAGAAGAUUAGGAUUUGUGAAUAAGAGUUAGCUCAAUUACUUGACUUCCCUUUAUUUAGUAAGGGUUAACUAAGUAAAAAUAACAACCUUUUGAUGCUACACUUGAGAAAAUCCAACAAGGAUAGAACUUCCAAUUAAUCAUUCUUCCAGUCAAGGCUUUUUAUUUUAAUUACAUAAAAUCUGUUGUUAAUUUUCAUUGCUUUAAUUUAUAAUUAUUUAUUUUCCCAUUCCUCAUUCGAAAAUUUCUCAGAAAAUUCAUAACCAAUAAUAACUACACCUCCCUGCAAUUCCUUGAGAGACGACCCGAGGUUUAAAUACUUCGGUUAUCAAUUUUAUUGGGUUUGCUUUAGUGACACCCAAAAUUUUUGUACGAAAAGAUUCUCUGUUGGUUCAGAAACUAUACUAGCAACGAGAACUUAUUUGUAAAAUUCGUUACUAACAGAAAAUCCGUUAGUCAAAAUUAUUUUUAAAACUUUCAGCAAACUUCAAGAAUAAAAAAUAUACUAACCUAAUUCAACAUUAUUUGUAGUCUUAAUUUUGAUCUUUUUUACCUUUUUAUAUUUUGGUGUACUGGUAUUUUUCACCUUUUUUUUGGACUUGGGCUAUGCCCAACAACCCAAACCUGACUCCAAGAACCACCCAACAACCCACUCCCUAAACUAAAUGUUGCGGUAGUGUUGUUCCUUGGCCACCAUUACUGUGAAUAAACUCCAUAACCAUUAAUUAAGCUAUCUUGUUGUUGCGGAUGACGUCCUCAACGCGGCUCGGUGAGCUCCUCUAUUCAGCGAACUCCGACAAAGCCAAUGAUGAUGACCAAGAUGAGCUCCGAUGAGCAAUAUGCCCCGACGAGGCCGGUGAAGAAGUCGACGGGCAGCUCCUCUGUGCAGCAAGUUCCGGCAAGGUAAGCGACGAAGACGACGAGCAGCUCCUCAACGCAGCGAUCAUUGACGGGGCCAACAACGGAGACGACAAGGUAGGUUUUUCAAGGUCGCUCCAAGACGUCCGAUUUGGUCUCCUCCAUGAACAGAACUUCGUUGUGCCUCUGUGCAGGAGGGAGGAUAGGAAUUCCUACUGAGAAGGGUUGCAUUGUUAACGCGUCCCUUCUGCUUGAAAUCCAGUUAACUGCGUUUUCUUUUAACAUUGUCUUUUUUCACCUUAAAAUUCGUUGCAUUGAAUAUUAUGUUUUUCCUCAAGAUUGUGUUCUCAAACUUUCUUUUCGUAUUAUAUUACGAAUUUCUGCAGGUGGUUGAUGGCUUCAAUUUGGGUAUAGAGUUUCCACAUCUGCUGCUUUAGCCACUGCGUGUGCUAGGAGGUUGCCAUCCCUGGGAGUCCACGUUAGACCCUUUUUAGGUAAAGCUUCUAAAAGUAUCUGUAUAUCUUGAAUUGUUGUCCAUGCUCUGCGAAUAGAACUUUUGGAUUUGAUAGUUUGCACCAAUUUUUGAUUAUCUCAUUCAAUUAAUGUCCUUUCCAAUUGUAAAUUAUUUACGAUGAUUAGGGCCUAUCUUAUUGACAUGGCUUCAGCUAUAAUUCUUGAGUUAGCUUGAAUUUUACUAGUGAAUCCUAAUAAGACCUUCCCUUCUUUGUCUCUAACUACAACAGAAAUAGUUCCGUUGCCCGAUUCCUUCUUGAAGGUAGCAUCCAUAUUUGCUUUUAGCCAAUCAUUCGGAGGUAGUCUCCAACGAGCCAGGUUUGCAUUUCUUCUUAUUUCUCCAAUCCUAGUCUCUGCUCUUUUUUCGGCAGCAUUCCAAUAAGUGUAUUCCAAUAGUUUAGCUUUUUUAAAGGACUAUCUAGAAUCCUUUUUUAAAGGACUAUCUAGAAUCCUUUUUUUGCAUAUACUAGUAUACACUGGCAAAAUGUUUUGGCUGGCCUUCCAUAAAUGCAUCUUAAUUUUUUGCUAAACCUCCGUUUUCCAAAUUUCUCUCCAUAGAUGCCUCUUAUCUAUACUGGUAGAUGGAUUCCAUUUAUUUCUGGCUAGAUAAUCCUCUUUCACAGUAUAAUAGCCUGUUCUAAUCGAAUAAAUUCUAUCUUCUUUUUGUGGCCAAUAUAGACAGUCUUUCUUAUUCACUACACUGAUUGGAGUUCUGAUGAUCGCUUCUCUUGUUUGUUGUGGAAACAUGUUGAAAAGUUUUCUCUUAUUCCAUCCCAUACCCUCUUCAAUAAGCUCUUUAACUUUGGAUGCACCUUGACUUUCUCCCUCUAAUGGUCGGCUAGCUCCCUCAAUCCAAGUGUCCCUCCAAAUAUUUAUUUGCGAUCCAUCCCCUACACUCCAUUUACCUUUUUUCCUAAGAAGUUCUCGUCCAUGUACUAAACUCUUCCAAACCCAUGAUGACCCCUUCUUGAUUCUAGCCUCCCAACAAUUGCCAUCUAGAAAAUAGAUUGCCUUUAGAAUCUGAACCCAAAUAGAGUUCAAGUUCUUCAAGGCUCUCCAAGCUUGUUUUUGCCAGAUACGCAGUGUUUUGAAAUUCUAAAUCUUAAACCCCAAACCACAAUCUCGUUUACUUAUUGUGACUGAUUCCCAAUUCUUCCAAUGUAUACCUUGUUCCUUUCCUGAUUCCUUUCAAUGUAUACCUCGUUCUUUUCCUACUGAAGCCCACCAAAAUCUAGCUACCUUAGAAUUAAUUUUCCUCCAAAAGACUCUUGGGAACUUGAUGAUAUUCAUAGCAUAAGCAGGCACCGCUUGAACUACUGCUUUAAUGAGUGUUUCCUUGCCUGCCUGGUUAAGGAGUUCCUCUUUCCAACCCUCCAACUUAUUCAUAAUCCUAUCUUCAAUCCAUGCUAGAGCUUUGUAUAGAGAUCUCCCCCAUAUCGCAGGUAGGCCAAGGUAUUUUCCAGGUGAUUCCCAUGCCGGAAUCCCUAGUAUUUCUUCAAUAUUAACCCUCUUUUGAAUUGAUACUUGAUUACCAAAGGUGAUGUCUGAUUUAUUGAGAUUUAUUCGUUGACCCGAAGCCUCUGUGUAUUCAUUAAGAAUUGUGACAAUUUGAAAAACUUCUUCCUCGCUUGCCUCCGAAAAGAUGAUGCAAUCAUCUGCAAACAGUAGGUGAGUGAUAUUUGGGGCUGUAGGGACAAUCCUGAACCCGGAGAUUCUUCCCUCUCUUCUUGCUUCAUCCAUAAGGAUAGUAAACACUUCUGCUACUAAGAUAAAUAGGUAAGGCGAGAGCGGGUCACCCUGCUGAAAACCUCGUUGAGGCUUUAUCUUCCUUGAUAGCUUUCCGUUAAUUUUAAACCUAUAGUUUGCUCCUCUAACACAUUUCAUUACUGACUUUACCCAUCUUGUUUGAAAUCCAAAAGCCAAAAGAACCUUUUGCAGAAAAUUCUAUUCUAGCCUAUCAUAUGCUUUAUUCAUGUCGAAUUUGAUUGCCAAGCUAUUCGACCCUCCCUUUCCUUUCCUAUUCAGGCUAUGGUAAACUUCUUGAACAAUAACAACGUUAUCCUGAAUGAGCCUUCCUCCCACAAACGCACUCUGCGUUGGCGAGACAAUAGCUUCCAACCACUUCUUCAGUCUUAGCACAAUUAUUCUUGAGAUUAUUUUAUAGAUGAAAUUGCAGCAGCUAAUUGGCCUAAGCUCAUUUAAACUUUCUGGAUUCUUUGUUUUCGGGAUAAGAACCAUUAUGGUCUCGUUUAUCUCUUCUGGUAUAUGUCUGCUACUGAAAAAAACUCUUACUACUACACAAACUUCCUUACUAAUUACCUCCCAAUGCUUCUGGUGGAAUAGCCCGUUCAAUCCAUCAGGUCUUGGAGCUUUAAGGCUACCCAUACUUAACACUGCCUUUCUUACCUCUUCAUUUGUAUUGUCCAUGAGCAUAUCUUUGUUAAUCUCCUCUGUAACUCGUUGUGGAAUCUUAUUAAUUAUGCUUUCAAAUCCAUGUCUAGUAGAAGAAGCAAAUAGUUUUUGAAAAUAUUCUUCAAUAUGCUCCAUAAUCUCGUUUGUGUUAUUUAACCAUUGACCAGAAGCAAUCUUCUGCCUUUCUAUUUUGUUUCUUUGUCUUCUGUGAAUAGUGGUGACAUGGAAGAAAGCCGUAUUUUUGUCUUCCCAUCUCAGCCAUUUUAAUCUAGACCGCUGCCCAAAAACUUCUCCUCUUGUCUCCAUAAUGUUGCUAUGUUCUCUUUCAAAAGUUGCAUCCUUCUUUGGUUCUCCUCUGUCUCUAUGAAGUUCAAACUCUGUAGUCUUUUCAAUCCCUCUUUCAUUCUCUUUUCAAUCCCUCUUUCAUUCUCUGGAUCUCUCUAUCGACUCUUUUAAAGGUAACUUUACUCCACUUCAAAAUGCAUCAUUAUCGUUGAUAUUUUUACCUUUGAUUAUAAAAUACGUCUAUGGGCCUUUUGGCCCCCCACUGAUCCAAAAAAAUAAAACAUGUAUGCAUGUUACAUGAUAGGUCAUUAGGUUGUAAUUCGGAUAAGUAUGCCUAUACGAAUAUUUGAUAAUCCGAUGCAUUUGCUGGCAUCUCAGCAGAUCUAACAAAAUCAAUAUUGAAGAUUACAGUUGCCCCAUCUAAGCUGCCGCUCGUUUUACUUGCAAAGGUAUGAAUUAAUUUUAUCUCCCACUCCCUUAAUAAAUUGGAGAUUUUCUGAUUGUUAAUGUCAAACGCUUUGUUUCUUAUUCCUUCAAAUAACAAAUAUAACACAGCCUUUGGUUCCUUGAAGAAAUUAACUCUUAAAAUUAGCAGAAAUGGCCAUUGUGUCUGGAGAAACAUUUAGAAAGGAUCUUCUUGAUAGCAGCAGUUUUCUGAGAAACCCAAAACAGGUGUGCUAAAUCUUUUUAUCACAAGCAUGUUUAGGACCUAAAAAGGAACACAAAACAAGUCGUAAUUGUCAUAAGUUGAGCCACUCAAUAUCUUACAAUUCACAAGUAGCAAAGGAGACAAUCAAGUUUCAUAUCACCCAUAUGUACUACAUAAUUGUUAUGACCAACUUACUCUUGCAUACAGUUUUUUGGUGGUUUAUCCUUUCGGCCUCUAUAGUCCUAUGUUUCAAAUGAUUUUGUACCCAAAAGUCAGCUAAAUGUGGCAGUUCUACAGCCUAACAAAAUCAGUCAAUAAUCAAAAUAAUGCACAAAAUGCUAAGUAAUCGGGUUUUACCAGUUAAUGCAUAUGCCGUCAAGGAAUUCAUGCUUUUUAUUAACCAAUCUAGCUACUAGCUAAGUUCUCUUCAAAUUUAAGUGUGUUGGCUGCUGUUAAAAGCAUGUCCAUUCCUCCAUCUUUCUCCAAUUCUCGUCCUUGUUUCCAUCUCUUGCCAAGCUUAUACUUAGGUUUUGAAACAUCUUCGCCAGUUCUAAAAUUGAAAUUCUCAUAUGUCUUUUUAGCCCGGCGUAUUGCUUGGAUCCCUGCAUCGCAUUUUCUGCAGAACCAGUUGCCUUUUGGAAUGGUAGUCCGUUUAGGCUCCAUGCAAUCGAUGUGGUAUCCAUGGUCGCAACCAUCACAGAGAACAAUCUUGUGAUCAUCUCGAUCGACGAGGCAAACUCGACAUAAACAAGAAGGGCAGUACCAACAGUGAGCAUAUGACUGGACCUGCUUAGUGGACAAACACCUUACAUGAUAGUAUUUACUAGGGCAUGAAUUGUGACCGCAUAUCCGUACAUCUUCUCCAUCUACUUCCUCCCUACAAAUUUUGCAAUCAGGCAAGUUUCUUCUCCCUAUGGACACCUCGAUCCCAUCAUAUGUACAAUUUGAAUUUUCCUCCAAUUCAUUGUGUGUUUCAUCAUUUGUAGGAAUGCUCUCAUCACCAACAAUGUUGUUCAAGGACUUUGGGGCAUUCAACCUUCCACACACCACACAAUUAUCAUGUGGAGAUCUUAUUUCAAUAGCAGUACAAUUGGCACAGAACCAGCUUUUUUCAGGUAAUUCCUUCAAAGCCGGCACAAUACAAGAUACAUGGUACAUCUCCUCACAUGAAUCACAAAUCAAGGAGUCUGUCCCAUCUGCCUUGCCUCCACAAUGCCUGCAACUGCAGACUUUAUCUGUAGCACAAACUUCUGUCUGCUGUGGUCUCAUAACAUUGUCCAAUGCAUAGUUAUGGAACUGUUUGACAAGAAAGCAUGAAAAGCAAUUCUCAAGACCAAUCUAAUAAAUCUGAGGCAAAAUCUUUAACCAUAUCAAGAGUGCAUUUUGUAAUGAUUCAAAAAUAAAUAAAUAAAUAGAAGGGUCUGCAUUUGUUGUGUAAAACAGAUCAUGUGCACCAUUUAUAGUGAAAGCCAGCAAAAUCUCCAAAUCUAACAGCCAGGACUUUCAGACAUUGAGUUUUAAAAAUAAAAAAGUCCCUCACCGAGCUGCCUACAACAAAUUCUUACUUACAUAAAGAAAAAGUGAACCACAAUAUUGAAUAUUAUAUUUCUUAGUCAAGAAAUAAUGUCCUCAGAUACAAAAAAACUUACCUCAACAGAAUUUUUUGAUUUCUUUGUUAAGUUUUUUUUUUCGGUUCUAUAAGUGUAUAACAUUAAUUUAACAAAAACAACGGCAUGUGCGCAGGGUGUGUGGAAGAUAGAGAUCAGAUUGACCCACAAGGCAAUCAAUCGGUUUAGUUAUGAGCCAACCAAAUUAAGAAAUUCCUUUAAUACAAUUUAGCUAAGUUAGGAAAUUUGGUUAUGGCAAUCACUGGUUACCAAUUCUGUUUUACCAACUCAGACUAAUGAACAAUAGCAUGGUAAUUCACUUUCAUUCAUACAUUCUGCACAAUCUAAGAUUCAUCAUCUUCCUCACUGCAGAAGCAUUUCUCAUAAAACUACAUGAUACUCAUGUUAUGGAACUCUUCAACACCUUCGAAAGAUAAACUUUGACAACAUCUGUUACAUACCUAGACAAUUAGAUAUUAACAACCUAAUUAUAACUGAGUGAACUAUGAACUAGGGUGGGUUUUGUAACUAGCCUAGCUGGCGAGUGAGAGAGUGAGCAUUGUGUCAUGAGAGAGAGGUGGGAACCAUAAAGGUCUGUCCAAAAGACACGAUAAAAAACUAGCAAUAAAGUCAUGAGGGAUAGCUUGCUUUAUGUCCUUUUCUCCAAUGGGUCUCUCCAAGAAGCAGCCUUUUCACGAGGGAUAGCUGCCAAUUUAAACUACAAAGGAAUGAUCUAGAAUACAUUUCCUCUAAAUGUGUCUGUUUAACAAGCUAACCAUCCCCACAAACCACUACUCAAUUAAACUUUUCCUCUUUCUCGCAAUAAUAAGCACCUUAUAAAAAAGCUUAGAAUUCACAUCCACUUCCAUUCGAAUUUGGCCUUUUGUCCCCAACUAAUUCUUUAAUCUUUAUUUCAACAAAAGAUCCUCAAACUCAUUUAACUGGGAACCCUUCUCACAAUAUUCACUAGAGAUAAGACCUUCCUUACCUAUCCUAUUUAAUGUCUCAAUUUCUUUCAGAAUUUCAUCCUUUUUUCACUAUAAAAUCAUUUUUUGUCACAGCUAUUAUGCUUUAGGAUACAGUUGAUUAAUAACCAAUACAAAUGAAUGUCAUUGGCUUUUGUCAGAGUACAAUAGGUGCAAGGGGAAAAGGAUUGCCACUACUUACUUUUUUCUUCAAUGAUUAGAAGGGGGUUCCACAACCUGGUGUGUGGAGGAACUCUAUGCCAAAGUUGAGGGAGGCUUUGGGGAGCAUUUGAACGUAUAUCAGUUAGUCCUGAAAGAGGCUAGACGUGCUUUGAGCUAAAACUCAAUGCUCUAUACUCUAUAGAGUUUGCUUCUUAACUUUUCCUUAGUUACUCUCCUUUCAAACUAGGUAUUUUGCAUGCAUCUCUCAAACAGAUGCUAUCUUGAAAAUGGAAAUUGUAACCUAUUCAGAUAAAUGCAAUAUUUUAUUUUUAAUUAAAGGACCAGGAAUCCAGCUAAGUAUUCUAUCAGAUGUGUAGAUUAAACCUACUUUCACCAAAUGCCACAGAAAAAAGAAACCCCCAUAAAAAGUACUCAAUAGAGGAAGAUAGGAAGUCUAAGCUAGGCCUAGGCUUAGAGAGGAAUAGCAGUAACUGUUUUCUGCCAGCUAGGAUAAAAGCUGCACUAGCUGUAGACAUUGGAAGGUCCAAACUGUACCCAUGGGGAUUACCCGCAACUGGGACUCGUGAAAUCCCCACAGGAACCCAUCAUAGAAGGAGACGGAGGUAGAGGUAUCAGCCCCAUGGGGACCGGCGAAAUCCCCGCAGAUUGAAAAUUUACUAAAAUGCCCUCACUUAUAUAUAAAAGUUGUAAGUUGUCUUCUUGGAUAUUUAACAUCUGUAUUAGAUUAGGUUAAAUUGUGUUUUGUGUUGCCUUAUGUUAAACUUUAUUGAAUUUUUGAAGGAUUGUGUUAUGGGUUUUGUACUAAAUUUAUUUAAAAAAUUUUGAAGGUAACAUGGAGGGGUAGCCACUAUCCCCUUGGCAACAAUUAAACGG
rnacentral:lncRNA from 1 species